UACGUAGGCAGCGAGCGUUGUUCGGAAUUACUGGGCGUAAAGAGUGUGUAGGUGGUGUCCCAAGUUUGUCGUGAAAUCUCCCGGCUUAACUGGGAGGGUGCGGCGAAAACUGGAAUGCUUGAGGAUGGGAGAGGAAAGCGGAAUUCCUGGUGUAGCGGUGAAAUGCGUAGAUAUCAGGAGGAACACCCGUGGUGUAGACAGCUUUCUGGACCAUUUCUGACACUGAGACACGAAAGCGUGGGUAGCAAACAGG
rnacentral:rRNA from 1 species